GCCUUUAAAAGGGAGCUCUUCACAGCUGCUCUGGUUGAUUAAUCACAUGCUUUUAGUUGCCUCAGACUGGAGAGAACUGCACAGAAAUUUAGUGGGUAUCAUAUCCAGAUAACCUGGUUUUAAUAGAGGUUUAUACAUUUCAUCAGAUUUUCUUCACAUCAUUGAGCAUUUUGAUAACGUACCCCUGAUGAAGUCCCGAUAGGGAUGAAACACAUUGGAUCGAUCUAUUGUUUUACUUCUGUAUCGUAUGUUUCAACAAAGAUAUACACUAAAAACUGAAUGUAAAACCGGAUAUAGCCGAAGACGUCCUCUGUAAAAUCACAAAGACGUACUAUGUUUUAUUCUGUACUUUUAUGAAUAAAUUUUAUUCUAUGUAAUUGAAAA